AGAUUUUAAAAUCAAGAGUCGCCUAGUUUGACAUGUAACUUAAAGAAUAGUAUUAAUAAAUUAAUUAUCUUUUAGUUCAUAGCUGUCGCCUGGCGAAGGUUAAGGUAUUCCCAGGCCAGGCUAGACUAAAUCACUCUUACUUGUCUUCUUUUGCUAUGGUAGUUGUAAAGGCCUCGAUGCAAAAAGAACAUAAACGCACGUUUAAUCAAUGCUGGGAUAACACUUUUUGUGCCGGCGCCGAAAAUUUGGUAAACAGAAAUGUUACAUAGCCACUUGCAAAUGUGGCAAAGAAGGUGCAUGCGUCCAAGUCAAAGUUAUGCAAGAAUGCGCUCAAUGUGCGAAGUUAAGCAGAGAGAUGCGAACUUGGCAAGGCCAAACCUGCAGGAAUAUCGCAGUUGUGUACAAUCACCGACAACACAAUAUUUGGUUCAAGUUGUACAACAAAUUUAAAAGCCUUAUCUUUUGAUAUUAGGCUCGUUAACUAUAAUAAUAUUUAGACUCAAAAGAUAUAAAAAAUAUUAAUAAUUGACCCCUUACGGAACAGAUUUUUUCAAUUAAUUCCUCUGUUGGUUCCAUAUUCUUGUAUAACUUGGGUGUUCUUAGUUCGAUCUUUGUGAAAUUUUUGAUGCUUAAAAGUGACAUCCAGAUGAUGUGUAUAUACAAAUUAUGCGAAUAAUAUACGAAAUUGUAAACCUCA